rnacentral:rRNA from 1 species
CGGGAUUGCCUCAGUAACGGCGAGUGAAGCGGCAACAGCUCAAAUUUGGAAUCUGGCCUCGCUCGGGGCCCGAGUUGUAAUUUGCAGAGGACGCUUCGGGUGACGCGCCGGCCUAAGUCCCUUGGAACGGGGCGUCGUAGAGGGUGAGAAUCCCGUCUGUGGCCGGCGGCCGACCCCGCGAGAAGCUCCUUCGACGAGUCGAGUUGUUUGGGAAUGCAGCUCCAAACGGGUGGUAAAUUUCAUCUAAAGCUAAAUACCGGCCGGAGACCGAUAGCGCACAAGUAGAGUGAUCGAAAGAUGAAAAGCACUUUGGAAAGAGAGUCAAACAGCAUGUGAAAUUGUUGGAAGGGAAGCGCCUGCGACCAGACCCGUCCCCGGGCGAUCACCCGCCGUUCUCGGCGGGGCACUCGCCCGGACGCGGGCCAGCAUCGGUUUCGGCGGCCGGACAAAGGCCCCGGGAAUGUAUCUGCCCCCCCGGGGGCAGACUUAUAGCCCGGGGCGCCAUGCGGCCAGCCGGGACCGAGGACCGCGCUUCGGCUAGGAUGCUGGCGUAAUGGUCGUAGGCGGCCCGUCUUGAAACACGGACCAAGGAGUCUAACGUCUAUGCGAGUGUUUGGGCGUCAAACCCACGCGCGCAAUGAAAGUGAACGGAGGUGGGAACCCCGGCGGGCGCACCAUCGACCGAUCCAGAUGUCUUCGGAUGGAUUUGAGUAUGAGCAUAGCCGUUAGGACCCGAAAGAUGGCGAACUACACGUGGAUAGGGUGAAGCCAGAGGAAACUCUGGUGGAGGCUCGCAGCGGUUCUGACGUGCAAAUCGAUCGUCAAAUCAGCGUGUAGGGGCGAAAGACUUAUCGAGCCAUUUAGUAGCUGGUUUCGGCCGAAGUUUCCCUCAGG